GCUACGGGUGGCUGCAGUAGGGAAUUUUGCGCAAUGGGCGAAAGCCUGACGCAGCACCACCGCGUGAAUGUUAAGCCCUUCGGGGUGUAAAGUUCUGUCAAUAGGGACGAAUUUUGACUGUACCUAUAAAGGAAGCACCGGCUAACUCCUUGCCAGCAGCCGCGGUAAUACGGGGGUUGCAACCGUUGCCCGGAAGCAUUGGGCGUAAAGCGUUCGUAGGCGGCAAGGUACGUCUGAUGUUAAAGCCCGGUGCUCAAGUCCGGUUCGGCAUUGGAUACGAUCUAGCUAGUAUGUGGUAGAGUUAAAGGGAAGUCCUGGUGUAGCGGUGAAAUGCGUAGAUAUCAGGAGGAACAUCGGUGGCGAAAGCGCUUUACUGGACCAUUAUUGACGCUGAGGAACGAAAGCCAGGGGAGCAAAUGGGAUUAGAUACCCGAGUAGUC
rnacentral:rRNA from 1 species